GACGAACGCUGGCGGCGUGCUUAACACAUGCAAGUCGAGCGGUAAGGCCCUUUCGGGGGUACGACGAGCGGCGAACGGGUGAGUAACACGUGGGUGACCUGCCCUCAGCUCUGGGAUAAGCCCGGGAAACUGGGUCUAAUACUGGAUAUGACUCCACGGUGCAUGCCGUGGGGUGGAAAGCCUUGUGCGGCUGAGGAUGGGCCCGCGGCCUAUCAGCUUGUUGGUGGGGUGAUGGCCUACCAAGGCGACGACGGGUAGCCGGCCUGAGAGGGCGACCGGCCACACUGGGACUGAGACACGGCCCAGACUCCUACGGGAGGCAGCAGUGGGGAAUCUUGCGCAAUGGGCGAAAGCCUGACGCAGCGACGCCGCGUGAGGGAUGACGGCCUGG
rnacentral:rRNA from 1 species